rnacentral:tRNA from 1 species
GUGGCAUUAGCUCAAAGGUAGAGCACUUGCCUGUGGAGCAAGUGGUUGCCGGUUCGAAUCCGGUAUGCCACC